rnacentral:rRNA from 1 species
UACGAGGGGGGCAAGCGUUGUUCGGAAUUAUUGGGCGUAAAGGGCGCGUAGGCGGUGCGGUAAGUCUGAUGUGAAAUCUCCGGGCUCAACUCGGAGUCUGCAUCAGAAACUGCCGUGCUCGAGUGUGGGAGAGGUGAGUGGAAUUCCCGGUGUAGCGGUGAAAUGCGCAGAUAUCGGGAGGAACACCGGUGGCGAAGGCGGUUCUCUGGGCCUGUACUGACGCUGAGGAGCGAAAGCUGGGAGC